AGAAUCCACGGGUUAAAAAGGUGAUUAUGACGUAACAACCAGCAGUUCUAAAUAAUUUCGAUUAUUUCCGACAGGAGAAAGAGAAAAAAAGACGAGAAAAAAAGCGCAAGACGAAGAACAAAGACGAAGACGCCAAUAUAAGGAUGCCGGUUUGAGGUGUUUG